UGCAAGAGGACUUUGUUAUGUUGUAAGUUAUCUGUAAUUCACUCUAUUCCAAUAUGACUACAAUUACUGUGCUGCCAGUUAGAUGCUAUUACUUUAUAUGGCAAAGUGUCACUCAACUCAUGUUUUUAGGUUGUGCUUGCUUAUCAAUAUUAAUGAAUUUGUGUUAAUACUACGUUGUGCUAAGAAACUUAACUUCAAUUUCCUAUAUACAGUCACAAAAUGGUGUGUUCUUAUGUAUGUGCUCAUUUCACUCGUUUUGAAAUUGCAGUUCUCUGAUAUAACAGUUUGGUAUUUGUACCUAGAUUUGUUAGGUAUCUGAUAAUUUAUUGUCAUGUGUGCGAAAAUCAGAAAGGAUAAGAGAAACUAUAUCUUUUGUUAUUUCAUUGUUAUGUCUAACUGCAAUCAUUUCCCUCCCUUGGUACUAUCCUGUGUGAAGCAUACAAGAUCUUCAGAAAAGUGGAAGUGGAUUGCUCUUUCCCAAUUGAUUGCAGUUGCUUUUGUAUGUGAUUAUGCAAGGUUUUACCAAGGGCAAUACAACUUAUUAAUGAAAUGGUAGAUAAACAAUUUUCUGCUAAUGUUGCUGGUAGUGGAGUUGUUUUCUAGUUAUGAUAUGUUUAUUAAAAAGAGACUUGAAGUGUAACACUCCUAAGGUUGAUAGAACUAGCUGCAGAUUGAUUGAUUGAUUGAAGUGUUGCUAGCUGUGAAAUAGGUUUUAGUUGCAGGGCCGAAGGGUUUCUGAUUGCUGAUGUGAUCCACAUUAGGAGGUUUAAAAAGAUAGGGAUGGUUCUGACUAUAAUUCUAGCUAUACUGAUAAGGUUUAGUGCUGUAAUUUGCAGUUGGGUUAGGGUUACUGACUUGAUUUGGCGUGAAGGUAGUAGAGAUGGUUUGUAAAUGGGAUUGCCUCUCCUAUUGGUCUCCAAUGGUUGUUCCUGAAGUCUUGCUGUGUCAAAAGCCUGAAAUAAGGUUACAAGUUUAAGCAUCCUUACCAUAGCCUUAUGUCAUCCUUGAGUCCUCCAUUGAAUUCUGAGUGAAAAUAUGCCUCUCCGAGCUAAGGCAUUGCCCUUUCCAUCCUUAUUCUCAACCCUUCAAACAAACUGAUCUUUAUACUCUGCAGAAUUAUCUUGCCUAAUUCUCAUUAAAACCUCGACAAUGUCAUCGAACUCUUGUUCCCUAAACCUACUUAAAAACCCUUUCUCAAAUGAUCCCAAGAAUUGGAUUCCACCCCAACCAAAUUUUGGAAUCAAGCAUCAGCCCUUUCUGCCAAAAAAGGCUAGCAAUGUUCACCUUCUGCUACCUAGGCACUUGGUAAACUUCAAAAUGUUUUUCGUGCGUCCAGAUAAUUUUAUUUUAUGUAACAGUUUAGUAAUACCUUCAACUUUAGAUGAAGAUCCAAAGCUUCCUUUGUCUUAACUGAAGGGUUCAGCGGUUUGGGUUGGGUAACAGCGCCCUGUUCUCCACAUCAAUGCUGCCUCCAGCAACAGUUGCCUUCUCUCCUCUACUCACUCCCCUGCCCUUGUCUCCUAAUAGAUGCACUAUUAAGGAUCGCAAUUCAUCCAAUAUUGCUUCUUUAUUGUCCUGUGAAGUCUGCCUCAUCUCCAUUCUCAGCUCUUGUGAUUCUUCCCUAAAACCCUUGGCAGCUUUCUUUGAAUCAUCUUGGAGUAUAACUUUGUAAACAGAGAAAGCAUUUCCACUUCUUGAUAUUUGGCUUCUAAUCAAAUAUGACUGAAGCAGAUUUGAUUUUACUUAAAAUAUGGGCUUCUUACAGUACAACUCUUAUAGCUUUUGUUGUCUUCAUGAUUUGCUUUCAAACAG
rnacentral:misc_RNA from 1 species